UACGUAGGGAGCAAGCGUUGUCCGGAUUCACUGGGUGUAAAGGGUGCGCAGGCGGAUUUGUAAGUCAGAGGUGAAAAUCUCACGGCUUAACCGUGAACCUGCCUUUGAUACUGCAGAUCUUGAGUUUGGGAGAGGUUGAUGGAAUUCCAGGUGUAGCGGUGAAAUGCGUAGAUAUCUGGAAGAACACCAGUGGCGAAGGCGGUCAACUGGCCCAUAACGUGACGCUCAGGCACGAAAGCGUUGGGGAGCAAAGCAGG
rnacentral:rRNA from 1 species